AAUGAACGCUGGCGGCAUGCCUAACACAUGCAAGUCGAACGAGACCUUCGGGUCUAGUGGCGCACGGGUGCGUAACGCGUGGGAAUCUGCCCUUGGGUUCGAAAUAACUCAGAGAAAUUUGAGCUAAUACCGGAUAAUGACGUAAGCCCAAAGAUUUAUCGCCCAGGGAUGAGCCCGCGUAGGAUUAGCUAGUUGGUGGGGUAAAAGCCUACCAAGGCGACGAUCCUUAGCUGGUCUGAGAGGAUGAUCAGCCACACUGGGACUGGGACACGGCCCAG
rnacentral:rRNA from 1 species